GAGUUUGAUCCUGGCUCAGAAUCAACGCUGGCGGCGUGCCUAACACAUGCAAGUCGAACGAGAAAGUGGAGCAAUCCAUGAGUACAGUGGCGACCGGGUGAGUAACACGUGACUAACCUACCUUCGAGUGGGGGAUAACCUCGGGAAACCGAGGCUAAUACCGCAUAAUAUCGAGAGAUCAAAGGAGCAAUUCGCUUGAAGAGGGGGUCGCGGCUGAUUAGCUAGUUGGCGGGUAAUGGCCCACCAAGGCGAAGAUCGGUAGCCGGCCUGAGAGGGCGCACGGCCACACUGGAACUGAAACACGGUCCAGACUCCUACGGGAGGCAGCAGUGGGGAAUUUUGCGCAAUGGGGGAAACCCUGACGCAGCAACGCCGCGUGGAGGAUGAAGCCCCUUGGGGUGUAAACUCCUUUCGACCAAGACGAUAAUGACGGUACUGGUGGAAGAAGCACCGGCUAACUCUGUGCCAGCAGCCGCGGUAAUACAGAGGGUGCGAGCGUUGUUCGGAAUUAUUGGGCGUAAAGGGCGCGUAGGCGGCGCAGCAAGUCACCUGUGAAAUCUCUGGGCUUAACUCAGAGCCUGCAGGCGAAACUGCUGUGCUGGAGUAUGGGA
rnacentral:rRNA from 1 species